rnacentral:rRNA from 1 species
UACGAAGGGGGCUAGCGUUGUUCGGAAUUACUGGGCGUAAAGGGCUCGUAGGUGGCCAACUAAGUCAGACGUGAAAUCCCUCAGCUUAACUGGGGAACUGCGUCUGAUACUGGAUGGCUUGAGUUUGGGAGAGGGAUGCGGAAUUCCAGGUGUAGCGGUGAAAUGCGUAGAUAUCUGGAGGAACACCGGUGGCGAAGGCGGCAUCCUGGACCAACACUGACACUGAUGAGCGAAAGCCAGGGGAGCAAGCGGG